CAUGCAAGUCGAACGGUAACAUGGGGAGCUUGCUCCCUGAUGACGAGUGGCGGACGGGUGAGUAACGCGUAGGAAUUUGCCCAGUCGUGGGGGACAACUCGGGGAAACUCGAGCUAAUACCGCAUACGCCCUGCGGGGGAAAGCGGGGGACUCUUCGGAGCCUCGCGCUUUUGGAUGAGCCUAAGUCGGAUUAGCUUGAUGGUGAGGUAAAGGCUCACCAUGGCGACGAUCCGUAGCUGGUCUGAGAGGACGAUCAGCCACACUGGGACUGAGACACGGCCCAGACUCCUACGGGAGGCAGCAGUGGGGAAUAUUGGACAAUGGGGGCAACCCUGAUCCAGCAAUGCCGCGUGUGUGAAGAAGGCCUGCGGGUUGUAAAGCACUUUCAGUAGGGAAGAAAAGCUCGAGGUUAAUACCCUCGGGUCUUGACGUAACUUACAGAAGAAGCACCGGCUAACUCCGUGCCAGCAGCCGCGGUAAUACGGAGGGUGCGAGCGUUAAUCGGAAUUACUGGGCGUAAAGCGCGCGUAGGCGGUUGGACCAGUCGAAUGUGAAAGCCCCGGGCUUAACCUGGGAAUUGCGUUCGAUACUACCCAACUAGAGUAUGGGAGAGGGAAGCGGAAUUUCCGGUGUAGCGGUGAAAUGCGUA
rnacentral:rRNA from 1 species